rnacentral:miRNA from 1 species
GCUCUCUUUCCUUCUGCCACC